GUCUCAUCGCAAGGAACAUGCUCUCUGCAUGUAUUGUGCCUCCAAGGACCAUUCAGUCACGGACUGCCCAUCUCUGAAGAGACAGAAAUCUGUGGGAAAGACAGCGACUAAACCUUGAAGCCGUUGUGGACUCUGGCGCUUAUGCCAAUUACAUUGAUUCCUCUAUAGUAAAAAAUAAAAAUAUACCGUUUGUUGUGAAAGAAAA